UGACGUCAAGUCCUCAUGGCCCUUACAUCCCGGGCUACACACGUGCUACAAUGGCAGGUACAGAGGGCUGCGAAGCCGCGAGGUGGAGCGAAUCCCAGAAAACCUGUCUCAGUCCGGAUUGAAGUCUGCAACUCGACUUCAUGAAGGCGGAAUCGCUAGUAACCGCGAAUCAGCAGGUCGCGGUGAAUACGUUCCCGGGCCUU
rnacentral:rRNA from 1 species